rnacentral:rRNA from 1 species
GUAGGUGGCAAGCGUUGUCCAGAAUUAUUGGGCGUAAAGCGCGCGCAGGCGGUUCUUUAAGUCUGAUGUGAAAGCCCACGGCUCAACCGUGGAGGGUCAUUGGAAACUGGAGAACUUGAGUACAGAAGAGGAAAGCGGAAUUCCACGUGUAGCGGUGAAAUGCGUAGAGAUGUGGAGGAACACCAGUGGCGAAGGCGGCUUUCUGGUCUGUAACUGACGCUGAGGCGCGAAAGCGUGGGGAGCAAACAGGAUUAGAUACCCUGGUAGUCCACGCCGUAAACGAUGAGUGCUAAGUGUUAGGGGGUUUCCGCCCCCCUUAGUGCUGCAGCUAACGCAUUAAGCACUCCGCCUGGGAGUACGGCCGCAAGGCUG